GGUUUAAUUCGAUGCAACGCGAAGAACCUUACCUGGUCUUGACAUCCACGGAAGUUUUCAGAGAUGAGAAUGUGCCUUCGGGAACCGUGAGACGAGGUGCUGCAUGGCUGUCGUCAGCUCGUGUUGUGAAAUGUUGGGUUAAGUCCCGCAACGAGCGCAACCCUUAUCCUUUGUUGCCAGCGGUCCGGCCGGGAACUCAAAGGAGACUGCCAGUGAUAAACUGGA
rnacentral:rRNA from 1 species